GUCCUAUAAAGGGUUAAAAGUCUUCAGCCAUUCCGUCCAGGGGCCCACAGCAGUGAAUCUGUCUUAUGUUGUUCCAGGGUAUUAAAGGGACUCCAGGAUUCAGGGGAGAAAAGGGCCUGAAAGGACACCGAGGCCUCAGAGGAGAGAAGGGCGAGCGAGGAAUCCCUGGGAUGACAGGAGACGAGGUAAAACACAGAGUGCCAGGUAAAUAUUCCAGCGGUGGAUGGUAGAGACGCUGCGGCAGAUUUUCUGCUCUCUCAGGGAGACCAGGGACAGAAGGGGGAGCGAGGUCUGAUGGGGGAGCCGGGAGCCAGAGGAGAGCCGGGAGCCAGAGGAA